rnacentral:rRNA from 1 species
CGCGUGGUUCUAUUUUGUUGGUUUCUAGGACCGCCGUAAUGAUUAAUAGGGACAGUCGGGGGCAUCAGUAUUCAAUUGUCAGAGGUGAAAUUCUUGGAUUUAUUGAAGACUAACUACUGCGAAAGCAUUUGCCAAGGAUGUUUUCAUUAAUCGGGAACGAAAGUUAGGGGAUCGAAGACGAUCAGAUACCGUCGUAGUCUUAACCAUAAACUAUGCCGACUAGGGAUCGGACGAUGUUAUAUUUUGACUCGUUCGGCACCUUACACGAAAGUAAAGUUUCUGGGUUCUGGGGGGAGUAUGGUCGCAAGGCUGAAACUUAAAGAAAUUGACGGAAGGGCACCACCAGGGGUGGAGCCUGCGGCUUAAUUUGACUCAACACGG